rnacentral:piRNA from 1 species
UCCUGCACAUUGCAUAAUGUACAUUGUUGU